AUGCCUACGGGAGGCAGCAGUGGGGAAUAUUGCACAAUGGGGGAAACCCUGAUGCAGCAACGCCGCGUGAGUGAAGAAGGUUUUCGGAUUGUAAAGCACUGUUAGCAGGGAAGAGGAAGGACGGUACCUGCAGAGGAAGCCACGGCUAACUACGUGCAAGCAGCCGCGGUAAUACGUAGGUGGCAAGCGUUGUUCGGAAUAACUGGGCGCAAAGGACGCGUAGGCGGUAAAUCAAGGUAUAUGUUAAA
rnacentral:rRNA from 1 species